GAAUCUGGAUCUUGGUCAUCUAGUCAGCCGGUUUGUGUUGCAUGUCAGCAGCCAACUAUUUUGGAAAACGGUAACUUUGUGAUAAGUACCGAUGGGCAACAGACAACCGCAAACUAUUCGUGUCAAUCUGACUAUACCCUCGUUGGAGACGACGUCCAGUAUUGUGGAAAUGAUGGCUCAUGGACGGUCAACAUGCCUACUUGCGUUUGUUCUGCCUUUCACACGCCGACAAACGGAGACAUUG